AAAGAAUUGGAUGCAUUGGCAGCCACCCAGCAACUGGAGGCCUGGGACAGCAUGGACUCAGAAUGGAGAUUUCCAGGAAAAUGUAGGAAAAGGUAAGCAGAGGUUAUAAAUUAGUGUUGGGCUACAUAAUCAAAGAAGUAGUAAAGGUGGUGCCCUACCAUAGAGCAGUGACCUCCAUAACAUCUGCAAUAAUUAGCACUGUUCUGACAGUGAGGAACAAUGAAAAAAGAGAAUCCACCUGGGUAAAUUCUACAAAGCAGUGGCCCACAGGGGAGAGCCUAGAAUGAAUACUUUAGAAGCUCUGACUACAUGAAGAAAACAAAGAGACUAGAUAAUUUUAGGGAUCAUGAAUCAGACAAUGAUGGUAAAGGAAGAGAAGAUGGGUAUGAAGAGAGAAAGAUCAAUACAAAACAAAUGUGAAAUUUUAAAGAAGUAAUUAAUAGGAUUAGGUGAAGGGUGAGAAGAGGAAAUCUAUUUGACUAAAUAAAAAGAAAAAGAUGGAAGAUAGAUUUAACCAAAUAAAAACAGGUGGAAAAAAAGGAACUAACAAACAAAACCCUAAAGAAAAUGAGAAGAGGGGAUCAGAAAGAAGCAGAAGGCCAGUGGAAACAGAGCCACCUUAAAAAAAUGAUAAAAUAAAGUAACUGAAGAAACAUAUAUUAUAACUGAAGAGGGGGGAAAUAACUUGAAAACCCUUCUGAUAUUUUAGAGAUAGAUGGAGGAAAAUACAAACUUUACUCUUGUAACUUCAAAUGUGAAUGGACCAAACAAUCCAAUAAAAUGAAACAAGUGGCAGAUGGGCUAAGAAACUAAAGUCCUACAAUCUAUUGCUUAGAAGAAACACAUUUAAAAUAAAACAAAAGCAUAUACAAAAUACAAUUAUUGUUUAUAAACAGCUCUAGACUCAAGGUGAGGAGGAGGAAUACCAGCAGGAACAGGGACUUGCUCAUAGUUCCAGGGCAGAAAAAAGUAUAUAUAGUCACUCAGAGACCAGAACAUAGGCCAUGAGUAGUAACUACAUCUCUCCUUAUAUCAAAGCUUCUUGAACUGUGGAUUGUGACUCCAUACUAGGUGGUUUAACUAAAUGGUAGAGCCCAUGAAUUUAUUAUUUUACAUACCUAUUUACCCAGGAUCAUGUAAAAAUUUCUCAGGGAAAAAGGGGUUGAGAGUGGAAAAAGUUUGAGAAGCCCUGCUUUAAAUGAUAGCAACCUGGAAAAAUGAAAACUCACAGAUCAGCAGAAAUAACUCUGAAAACAGCAGCAUGAAAAACCUGAAACUUGGUACAGUGGGACGACAUCGUGGGAGCAAAUCUAAUGUUAAAAGAAAGCAAAAAGUCAAGAAAUAGGCUGGAAAAUAAGCACACAACAAAAAAGAAUCUGACCAUAAAAAAUUAUUAUGAUAAGAUUCAACAGCUUGAUAAAAAUAUAUUGAAGAACACUUUAAAAACACAAUAGGCAAAAUGUUUGUAAAAGAGGCACAGAAAUCCAUUGAAGGAAAUAAUUCUUUAAAAAAAAUUAACAAAAUAGAAAAAUAUUGCAAGAAUUCAUUGAAGAGAAGAACUGCAUAAAAAUGACAUGUGAAAAAGAAGGCACAGCACCUGACAAUAGAAAAUAAAUCCUUAAAAAUAAGAAUUGGACAAAUAGAAGCUAUUUGCUCCAUGAAAUAUUAAAAAUCAGUAAAACAAAAUAAAAAGAAUGAAAAACUAGAUGUGCAGUAUUUCACUGGAAAAAUAACUGACCAGUGAAAUAGAUAUAGAAGAGGUAAUUUUAAAAUUAUUGGACUACCUGAAAGCUACAAUAAUAAAAGAGCCUAGACAUAAAUUUUUUCAAGUAUUUAUCAAGGAAAACUGUUCUAAUAUCCUAGAACAAGAGGGUAAAAUAGAUCCACUGCUCAUCUCCUGAAAGAUAUCUUUAAAUGAAAACUGUGAAUAAUAUUGUAGCCAAUUUAGCUGCUAAAUUAAGGAGAAAAUAUUACAAGCAGCAGAAAGAAACAAUUUAAAAAUCAUGGAGCCACAUUCAGGAUUACAUAAGAUUUAGCAAAUUUCAUGUUAAAGGGGUGGAGGGAUUGGAAUGAUAUUUUGGAGGGUAAAAGAGUUAGGAUUAAAAUAAAAACUCACUUCCCUAGAAAAACCGAGUCUAAUCCUUGAGGGGGUAAAUGGAUUUUUGAUAAAAUAGAGAACUUUAAAAAAUCCUGAUUAAAAGACCAGAACUGAAUAAAAAAAUUGACUGUCAAGUACAAGACUCAAGAGAAGUAUAAAAAGGUAAACAGGAUUCAAUAAACAAAAAGGAUAAAAAGGUAAAAGAUUCAAUAAAGUCAAACCAUUUACAUUCCGCCAUGGGAAGAGGAUACUUAUAACUCCUAAGAACUUCAUCAUUAAAGGGCUAUCAGAGGAAGUACACAUACACAUCAAUGUGAGUUGAGCAUAAUGGGUUGAUAUCCCCAAAAUAAAAUUAAAGGGUGAGAAAGAGAAAUAUGGUAGGUAAAGAGGGAAUGGCAAAAUAGCAUGGGAUAAAUUAUCAAAUGUAAAAGAGAUAAAGACUUUUCAUUAGUGGAGGGGGAAAUGAUGAGGAGAAGGGUGGCAGGUUACCCUUGAAUCUUUUUCCUUGUAAUUGGCUCAAAGACAGAGUUACAUACACAUGCAGUUGGAUAUAUAAAUAUAUCCUACCAUGCAGAGAAGUAUGAAGGGAGGAGAAAAAGAGAAUGUAAAAGGGAGGGCAGAAUGGGGGAAGCAGUAGUCAGAAGCAAAAUACUUCUGAAGAACAGGGUAAAAAGAGCCAGAACAAGAACAGCAUAAAUGGAGGGAAACAGGAUGGAGACAAAGACACAGUAACCAUAAUAAACUGCUAAUGGGCCUGGGAUGAAUUCACCCAUGAAUUGAAAGCAGAAAACAUUAAAAACUAGAGUCUUUAAUAGGAAUGAGUGUUUUAUUUUGUCAAAUGCUUUUCCAGCAGCUACUGAGAUUAUCAUAUGAUUUCUUCUAGUUGGGUUACUGACAUAGUCAAUCUUGCUAAUAGUUUUCCUGAUAUUGAACCAGCCCUGCAUUCCUAGUACAAAUCCCACUUGGUCAUGGUGUAUUAUCCUGGGGAUAGCUUCCUGAAAUCUCUUUGCUAAUAUUUUAUUUAAGAUUUUUGCAUUAAUUUUCAUUGGGGAAAUUGUUCUCUAAUUUUUCUUCUCUGUUUUGACUCUACCUGAUUUUAGGUAUCAUUCACCAUCGUUUGCAUAUUUUUUUUUCAUUAAUUGCCUUGAAAUUCUUAACAUUUUUUUCCUUCCAGAUAAAUUAUAUUAUUUUUUUCUACCUCUAUAAAUUAAUUUCUUGGCACUUUGAUUGGUUUGGCAGUGAAUAAAUUAAUUUAAGUAGAACUAUCACUUUUUAUUAUUAUUUUUAUUAUUAGUUAAUAAUUAUUAUUUUAUUAUUAGCUAAGCUUAUCCAUGAACACUUAAUAUUCUUCCAAUUUUUUACAUCUGACUUUAUUACUGUGAAAAGUGUUUUAUAAUUAUGUUCUGGCUUUGUCUUGACAGGUCGACGUCUGUCCAAAUAUUUUAUAUUAUUAAGUUAUUUUAAAUGGCAUUUCUAUAUCUCUUGCUGAUGAACUUUGUUGGUAACAUAUGGAAAUAGCAAUGAUUUGUGUGGAUUUACUGUGUAUCCUGCAACUAUGCUAAAAUUGUUAAUUGUUUCUGGUAGUUUUUUAGUUUAUUUUCUAGAAUUUUCUAAGUAUACCAUCAUAUCAUCUGCAGAGUGAUAAUUUUGCUUCCUGUUUACCUACUCUUAAUUCUUUCAAUUUCUUCUCUUAUUGUAAAGCUAAACAUUUCUAAUAAAUAUUGAAUAGUAAUGGUGAUAGCCUGCAACCUUUUCUCACCACUGAUCUUAUUAGGAAUGCUUGUUCAUCCCCAUGACAUAUGAUAUUUGCUGGUGCUUUUAAACAGAUACUACUUAUCAUUUUAAGGGAAACUCCAUUUAUUCCUAUGUUCUUUAGUGUUUUUUUUUUAAUAAUAACUUUUUAUUUUCAAAAUAAAUGCAAAAAUAAUUUUCAACAUUCACCCUUGGAAAAUCUUGUGUUCCAAUUUUUUUUCUCCCUCCCUUCUGCCCACCCUCUCCCCUAAACAGCAAGUAAUCCAAUAUGUUAAAUGUAAUGGGCCAGAACUCUGGAGAAAUGUACUCCCACAGCAGUCCUUCAUCAAGGAGACAGUGUGAUACGAGUGGGUGAACCUCCCACUCUGAACCAGUCUCUCCCAGAGUGCAGGAGGCAGGAGAGCCACCCUGAGCCAGAUUAGUUUAAAUUUACUUCUUUACAAUUACAUCAACUGUAAAACUAUUACAUCACCAUGCUAAGUAUUAAGUAUAUGUAAUCUAGAUAACCAUUGUCUUAUCAAUUCCACUGAGUUAACAACUUGUUGUAGGAUUAAAUCAAUCAUAGUGAACUAGAGAACUCACAUGCUAAACUAAUCAUUAUCUUAUCAAUUCCACUGAGUUAACACCUUGUUGUAAGAAUCCUUAUUUCAAGUACAUUUCUCCAGAGUUCUGGCCCACUACAGUUAAACAUGUAUGUAAUUCUUCUAUACAUAUUUCCACAAUUAUCAUGAUGCACAAGAAAAAUCAAUUCAAAAAGGGGAAAAAUGAGAAAAAACAAAAAGCAAACAAAAAAGGUACAAAUACUAUGUUAUGAUCUACACUCUGUCCCUAUGGUCUACUCUUUGGAUGUAGAUGGUUCUCCAUCACAAGUCUAUUGGAAUUGACCUGAAUCACUUCAUUGUUGAAAAGAGUCAAGUCUGUCACAGUUGAUCAUCACAUAAUCUUAUUGCUGCUGUGUACAAUGUUCUGUUGGUUCUACUCACUUCACUUAAUAUCAGUUCAUCUAAGUCUCCCAGGACUUUCUGAAAUCAUCCUGCUGGUCAUUUCUUAUAAAACAAUAAUAUUCCAUAAAGUUCAUAUAUGGUAACUUAUUCAGCCAUUCUCCAACUGAUGAACAUUCACCCAGUUUCCAGUUCCAUGCCGCUACAAAUAUUUUUGCACAUGUUCUCCAGUAUUUUUAAUAGGAAUGGGUAUUGUAUUUUGCGAAAUGCUUUAUCUGUAUCUAUGGAUAUAAUAUUUCUUUUAAUUUAGUUAUUGAUAUACUCACUUCUGCUAAUAGUUUUCCUAAUACUGAAUCAGUCCUGCAUCAGUGCUAUAAAUCCUAAUUGAUCACAUUACAUGUGAUAUAUAUAUAUAUAUAUAUAUACAUAUAUAUAUAUAUAAUGUAUAUAUGCAUAAUAGAAUGUAUCAUUAUCCUGGUGAUAAGUUGCUAUAAUCUCUUUGCUAAUAUUUUAAGAUUUUUACACCAACAUUCUUUAGGGAAACUGGUCAAUAAGUUCCUUCAUUUUGAACCUACCUGGUUUAGGCAUCAGCACCAUAUCUGUGUCAUAACAAGAAUUUGGUAGGACUCCUUCUAUUUUUCCAAAUACUUUGCAUGAUAUGGGAUUUAAUUGUUGUUUAAAUGUUUGAUACAAUUCACUUGUAAAUCCAUCUGGCCUUCAAGAUUUUUUUCUAAAGUUCAUUAAUAGCUUGUUCAAUUUCUUUUUCUAAAAUAUAUUUAAGUAAUUCAUAUCCUCUUCUGUUAAUCUGGGCAGUUUGUAUUUUUGUAAGUAUUCAUGCAUCUCACUUAAAUUGUCAGGUUUACUGGCAUACACUUGGACAAAAUAGAUCCUAAUUAUUGUUUUAAUAUCCUACUGAGUUUGCCAUUAACAAGUUUUCAGAUACCCUAAAUACAAUAAAAUACAAUCAAACUACAGUUUGGACUGAGAGUGUAAACAUAGAUGGGGGAGGGGAGGGAUAUGAGAUGUCACAGGAAAAGUGAUUGAUAUAUCUGAGUAUUUUAAAAUGAGUUCUAGAUUUUUUCCUUUGACCUGAAAUCACAGCAUGGGGCAAUAUCCAUUUUGGCCACAAGAUGUCAGGAAAAACCUAUGGGGGGAUUAGGAUUUUCCACAUUGGGAAUGUGGUAUUUGAACUUUGAGCUUUAGACUUGGGAACAUUGGUGUUCUAGGGAGCAAAAGUGAGAAUGGAAUUCGUUCAAGACACGAGGUGGAGGAGUCCAGAGAUUUGUAAAAGGCAAGAUGAGGCAGAAUUUGCUUGAGCUUUUAGUAAAGUGUGUGGAAAUCAUGUAUGCAAAAGAUAUUGUGGAGUUGGCAAUGUCCAAGUCUGAAAGACUUGAAGCUCUCUCUUCUCAUUUAUAUGUUUAAAUGGCAUCCAUGCUGAUCACAUUUACCAGAAAUGAACCUUCACAUAUUUUGAAAUGCAAUGAAAGCAUAGUUUAGUUUGAAUGGGAUGAGAGUGGAGGAUGAGAUGUCAAAGGAAAAUCUCAGUUUGUGUUGUAAUGAGUUCUUAAUUCUUUCCUUUUGAAAUCAAAUUUCAGUAUAAUAACCAUUUUGGUCACAACAUGUCAGGAAAAGACCAUGUUCUCUUCUUCCAUAUGAAAUAUUCAAAGCCCCUUGAUUAAGGAAGAUCAGGUAGAAGGCCAAUUUGCUUGAGCCGUAGAUCAAGUGCAGAGAAAUCAUGGUUGUAAGAAAUAUUGUGGAGCUGGAAAUGUCCAAACCUGGAAACUAUAUGUAAUCCUGACCCAAAGCUCACUGGUAUGGGAUCCUCUCUGUGGAGAUUAAUGCUCUGCCCUGGAGUGGAGUUGGCUAUAGAGGGAUGGAAAGCUCUCCAGCCUCCUUCGAGCUUUUUUCCUCAAAAAAGCCAUUUCAUUUUCUCAAGAGCAGAACUUCUUGUUCUCAAGGAGGCUACCAGCCUCUAUCUUUUAGUCUAACUCACCUCGAACUUUGAUAUAAAGGCCCCAGUCAAAUCCAAUGGCUUUUCCCUCAAUCUUCAUCCUCCUUGACCUCUCUGCAGACUUCUACACUGUUGGGUGUUAGUAGGCUGAAGCCUUUUCUACUCAAUUCUCUUUUUUGUAGGUUUUCAGGACACCAAUCCUCUUCUGGUUCUCCUAUCUGGCUGCUAGUUCUCAGCUUCCUUUGUGGGAUCUGUUUCCAGACCACAUCCUCUAACUAUAGGUGUUCCUCAGACAUCUGUUCUGGGUCCCCUUCUUCCUCUGUACUAUUUCACUUGCAGAUGUCAUCAUCUCUAUAGUGAUGACUCUCAAAACUAUCUUUCCUGCCCCAACCUCUCUAUUGAUCUCAACUCUCACAUUUCCAACUACCUUCCAGAUGUCUCAAACUAGAUAUUCAGUAGACAUCUUAAAUUCAACAUAUCCAAAGCAGAUAUCCAUCUUUCCUCCUAAACCCUCUCCUUCUUCUACCUUCCCUGUACCUGGAGAAGGAAAUACCAUCUUCCCAGUUCCCCAGACUUUCAAUAUAAGAGUUAUUCUCAAUUCCUCACUACCACUCACCCUCCACAUCCAAGAUGUGGUCAAAACUUGUUUCUUUCAGCCUGGCUACAUCUCUCUAAAACAACACUUUUUCUUCUCUGACACUGCCAUUUUCUUGGUGCAGACCCUCACCAUCUCCUGCCUUCAUUAUUGCAAUAGCCUGAGAGUCUCGAGUCUGUCUCUACUCCAAUUUGUCCUACUGAGAGUCACUAGGUCCUUUACUGCUAUUCAAUAAACUCCACUGGCUUCCUAUUGCCUCCAGGAUCAAAUACAAAAUGCUGUUUGGAAUUCAAAACUUCAUAACCUAGCUGCCCUUACCUUUCCAGUCUUCUCAUAUCUGACUCCUCACCACAUCCUCUUCCAUCAAGUGAUACUGGCCAUCUGGCUGUUUCAGGAAUAAUAUGUUCCAUCUUUUGGCUCUGGGCUUUUUCUCUGCUGUCCCCGAGCCUGGAAUGCUCUCCCUCCUCCACUUGCACUCCUGACUUCCCAUGCUUCUCUUAAAUACCACGUUUUGGAGAAAGUCUUCCCUAUCCCCUUUUAACUGCAAUAGUUCCUAUCUUCUAUUUUUUUCCUAAUUAUUCUACAUAGUUUGCUUUGUAAUAUGUAUUCUUUGCAGGUUGUCUCUCUCCUUAGGUUACCAGCGCCUUCAGAGCAAAGACUCAUGCCUCUUUUUGGAACCCCGUUGCUUUUACAGAGUACCUGAAACCCCAUAGAAGGUUAAUGCUUAUUCACUGGUUGGAUACCAUAAUGCUUUUUUUUUUUUUUUAAAGAUUUGUCUACAUAUUCUUCAUGCCUUAGAAAAAGUUUAAAAGGAAUUGUUUUCUGCAAAUGGCAUGAUUUCAAAUUUAUGUUUGUUAGUUAGCAUUAUUUUCCUGGAAAAAAGUGGAGAGAGGAUGUUUAUCUUCCAGACUGAAUUUUUUCUGAUGGUGAAUUCUAAGGCCAGCUUUUCUUGUCUCAAUGUUUAUCUAGCCAUUUGUCACUGAAUGGGGGGUGAUUCAGGAAAUUUCCCAGACUUACAGUUUCUAUGAUCAGAUUUGCUUCAGAAAAGGCAAUUUUGUCUUCCCAUUCUGGAAAAUACUUUUCAGCUUUUUUUUUUUUUCUGGUCAUAAGAAGCAAUAUUUUUCCCCCAGAGGCAGAUUUUUUUCUUCUGGAUGAUAUCCUAGACUUCUUUUAAUGCAGUUAAAUUUUUUUUUUUAGUUUUAUGAGGCAUAACAAGCUUAUCCUGACUUGGCUUUUUGAUAUUUUUAAAAUUUUAUUUCCUUUUAUUAAUUUUAUUCUUUGGAGGAUUAGAAGCCAAAAAGUGUCAUGGCUUUCAAAGAAAAUGUCCCGUCUUGUUGAGCCCAUUGUGAACCCUUAAAUGUUGCUUGAGCUGUGACCUCACUUAGUUUAUCUAUUGCCUUUUUUUCCUGUAUGAUCAUGUUUCUCAUUUGCUAAGCCUGUUCAACAUCUAUUACACUAACAAAAGCAUGGAAUUGUGAAUAUGUCUUUUUAAACUGGUCUUAACGAAUGUACAAAAUUGCAAUAUGUAAGUGAAUUUAUUUGUUCAUUUUUGAUAAAAUUUUCUCUAUACAAGAUUUUUUGAAUCUUUAUUUGGGGUUCAGGAUCAUUUUUCUACCUCCUGAACCUGUGCUAAAGCAAAAGUUUACUCCCAUAAUUUCUGUUUCAGAGUACACUUAUCUCAGCAACAGUUACCUGCCACAUCAAUUCAAAAAGGAGAGAUUUUUCCCAUUACAAAUUUGGUGAUCCACAAACAGAGAGGCAGUAACCUUGGAAAAACCAGGGCUUUUACUUCAGAAAUUCUAUUAAGGUUAUCCUUACCUUGGAAAUUUCAGAGCAGAAAAGCAGACUGCUUUCCAAAAUCACAGAAAGGGAAGAGUGUCUUCUUUGGCUUUUGUGUAUUGUGAGAAAAUUUUUGCACUGUUUGAACCCAGUCCUGUAUGGCCAAGAAAUCAUACUUAUUGCUUAGAGACCAGAUUAAAUGUUUAACUCGGACCUUGUUAUGCUGACCUGAAAUCUAGUCAAAACCCAAGAUUGAUAUGAGGAAUGUGAGAUGUUUCCUUUCAUUAUACAUCUCAAGCAACUCACAUGAAUUAUUUGAAAAUGACUCUGUGCUGGCCAAGGAAAGACUGUUUCAUUGUUCCCUUGCUGGAACCCUAUAUAAUGUACUACUUAGAGAUAUUUGGACAGUUUUUCCCUCCACUCUCCUCCUCUGCUGGACAAAUUGACUUUUUUUCUAAGUUAUCUGGGGUUUGGGUUUUGUUCUCUGUCAAAAUUUGUCCAAUUUAUCUCCUUACUUUUGCCGGUAUAUAACCCAAGAGACUUGUCUGCAUGUUGUGGCCAUUGUCUCUGAGACCUAGUCUGAUUAUUUAAUGGUCAGAAUUGACCACUGGAUGGAGAUUGAUCGCUUGGAAAUAAAGAUAAGUUCGCUGAGUGACAUAAAGUGAUAAUUUGGAAUGGUCUAAAUGACUACUGAGAAUAGGUCAGAUGUUGGAAAUUUCUCAGGGCCUUUGGUCUGAUUAAACACUGCAGUGGUUAAAUUAGAAGCCCCAAGUUGGUCUGGUUAAAACUGAUCAAUGGGUAGUCCCGGUUGAAAAAAAUACAUCUUUGGUAUAUUCCUCAGUAUCAUAUUGAGGAUAGGUCAGAAAUUAUCUGAGGGUUUUAUUCUUUCUUGUUGACUGUCUUAAUGAUCUAUUUUACAGUGCUGUUACCGUCAUCAAAAUAAAACUCUGGACUAAGAUAAAAAUUUAUUUUGAGAAGUUCAGUGAACAAAUUUCAGCGAUUUUGAUUUCAUAGAGAAAUUUGGUCACAAAAUCAGUUUUCUUUGUGGUCACUCAGAUUAUGGUUGAAACAUCCGAUUAAAAAAAUAAUAAUCUAAAUAUGAGACCUAAUCAGUUGGUCCUCUAUGAAUCAUCUUCUAACCAAUUUAGAAAAGUUUCCCUUCAAGGAACCCCAAAUUAUCUAAAGGUCCAGUUUAAAAAUCUUUCUGAACCUUUGGACAAGAUUAACUUCAGGGGAUCUGAAAGAUCCUUUGAUUCUGAACAUCUUGGCCAGGUUAAGAUGGUCUAUAGAAAAUCAAUACCUCUUCCAAAUGGCUUAUUGGUGUAAUUGGGUAGAGCACAAUAAUAAAAACUUCUGCCCUAAAACUGAAAAAAUAGGUUUCCCAACAAUUGGCUUUGAAACCUACUCUACAGACAAGUCUUCCUGGCCUUUGAUAAUAGAAAGUCCCACCUAUUUAUGACAAGCAAGGUGCUAGGGUCUCAGCACUGACUCCCAAAACAGUCCCUCAAUUCUUCCCAGAAAAGCAGUUAGAGAUAAUUGGAAUCAAGUGAAGGGACUUUAGUCAAGAUGCAAAUGCACACCCUAUAAAAAUGACAGGAUAGACUAAAAACACUGGGAGACAGUGUGAAGGGAUUGAGGAUCCAACAGAUCCUGCAGUGAUCAAAUUAAUACCCUUGUUGUUUAUCAAUAAAGGUGCAGAUAAUAUCCCAGAUUGUUAUUUAACAGACUGGGGUUGGGGCGUAUGAGUGGGGAGGGAGGAAUUAAAAUACUUAAAAUUGUGUUGCUCAUGACCUAGGUCUCAUAACAGAAUAAAACAAAAAAAAAAAAAAAUGAGUUGAGCAAGAAUCUCAACAAAUAGCGCAGCUCAAGGUAGUAUCUUCCUCAGCUAUAACAUCUGGCUUGGGCAGAUAAAGUAAUGACUGUAAUCACCCCAAUUUUCAGAAUCCCAGGAGAGGCUGAGGAAAAGCCUAGGCCUUCCUGAAUCACCAUAUAAAUACUCCUAUUCUAGUGACCUAAAUCUGCAUUGCAAGCAGAAAGGACAUUGGAAAUGUCACCUUCCCUCACAUCUAUUAGCAUCCUUUCAAGUGCUUUGAGGGACUUCAAACAUGAAACCCCUUUAUUCUAGGAUGAACAGGAAGUUAGGAUGAUUCAACACUAUUGCUUAAGUUAAUGAAAUUUCACAGCUAAAAUAGCUCUCUCUGCUAUCUGUAUCAAACUAAAAUUCUGAUGUUAAACACUCCUUCUCAAUUAAGGGUGGACUUAUUUCCACUGACUCUUUGAUCACUUUAAGUGAGAGCUAAGAUUCAGAAUAAGCAGGAAAAACUUUAAGAUAAAUUUCCCCAGGAUAUUCUCAGGCCUGGCCAUGUUGAGAUUGCAGAGAUGAAGACAAGAAAGAAGUAAGAGUUUAUGGCAUUAUACACUAAAGACUAAAUUCGUAACUAAAAUACCUUUGCUACAAAUUUCCAAAUAUCUCAAAGAAGAGAUAUUUUUGUAAAUUGUCAAAUAGAUAAAUGUAAUGUGGGAGUGGGAAGGGUAGGAAGGAGAGAAACUAUCUUGAAUCCCCUACAACUAAGGUUACAACAUUUAAUAGUUAAAAUAACUCUGGAUGCCCAUUCGUUCAGGAAUGGCUGAAUAAAUUAUGGCAUUGGAAUAUUUUUGUUCUAUAAGAAAUGAGGAGCAGGCAGAUUUCAGAAAAGCCUAGAAAGACUUGCUCGAACGGAUUUUGAAGGAAGUGAGAACCAGGGUAACACUGUACACAGUAUCAGCAAGAUUAUAUAAUGAUCAACUGUGAUGAAUUUGGCUCCUCUCAGCAAUUAGGUGAUUCAAGAUAAUCCAAUUGGGAUGGAAAAUGACAUCUGCAUUCAGAGAAAGAACUAUGAAAACUGAAUGUGAAUCAAAUUACUUAUAUUUUCACUUUUUUUAUUUCUUUGCUUUUCUUUCUUGUGGGUUUCUCCUUUUUUCUGAUUUUUCUUGCACAGCAUGACAAAUAUGGAAAGAUGUUUAAAAGGAUUACACAUAUUUAACCUAUAUCACAUUGCUUGCCGUGGGGUGAGGGAGAAAAAUUGGAACACAAAGUAUUACAAAAAUAAAUGUUGAAAAACUAUCUUCACAUGUAUUUGGAAAAAUAAAACCAACUCCUUCUCUUAGAGGGUGGUAGAGUCCCAAUUUUAGAACCUGAUUUCACUGCAUGGAAGAGAGCUUCUUAAACUUUUUUUACUCAUGACCCCUUUUACACCCAAGAACGUUUCACAGAACAUUUAGCAACCAUAAAUCAUAAUUUCAUGACCCCUACAUUCAGGUAUGUGAUCCCAUAGGGGAUCAUUACCCAAAGUUUAAGAAGCUGGGGCCCAGAAAAUGCUAAAAAAGCCUUCAAGAUAAGGAAAUAAAACGGGUUUGCAGCCUUCAAUUUUAUGCCUUAUUAGGUGAAAUUCGAAUCUUAGGAGGGUCUUUUAUUGUAUCAAUAUAUUUUUUUUCUCUAAAUCAUUUUUAACAGAACUUAAUUGUUUAGGGCAAAUUAAAGGCAGUAACCUAAAAGAAACUGAAAUGAAUUGCAACUCAAAAUGUAAAUGCAGUCUGGUAAACUAACCAAGAAAUCUGUACAGGAGAUUCAGUGGAGUACAAUACUGGGAUAUGAUUGGAAAAUAAAGAUGAGAUGGAAUUAAAAGUAAGAAGCAAAGGUAAGUGAAUGUUUCAAUUACAAGGAAAGAAGAGUGGUUUUGAAGUCUGUAGGCCUUUAAUCAAAAGGCAGUUAGAUGACUUGGUGAAUAUAACUCUGUGCCUAGAGUCAGAAAGAUCUGAUUUCAAACCCAGCUCCAGGCACUUAUAAGCUGUGUGAUCCUGAUAAGUGACCACUUAGCCAGUGUUCACCUUAACACACGGGAGAAGGAAAUGGGAAAGCAUGUCAAGAAAACCAUGGACAGCAUGGUCCAUGAGAUCACAAAGAAUCUCACAAAUCAAAUAACUGAAAAACAAGGUUUAAGCAAAUAGAGAUAACAGGAGAAUGGAAGUCCAUAUAGACUGAUAACCUCCAUUUGAAGGUUAAUGUGAAGUAAGGGUUAGAUUUCUGGAGAUUUUUGAUCUCACUGAGAUGAGAAGGCUAUGAGAAAUUUCCUAUACCUGUUAAAUCUGUGGGUACCAGUGGGAGAAAUAUCUCCUAACAAUUUAAGAUAGACAAGAUUCUAUCAAGUUACAUACAACACUAACUAAAUGGAAACUAGAGACAUAAAUUUGGAUGAUGGAAAUAUUUGAGUACAGCAUAUUAAAAUUCUAUCCUUGAAAGACCAUUACAGAGCUAUGUUCCAACUUUUAUUUGUGGGACACUCAUUCCUAGUAUGAUGUUUGCCGUUUCCAUGUCACAAGCCCCCAAAGAAAAGUUGAAAAUGUGAGGGUGCCACCAUAAAUCUCUGGAAGUAAAAGUAACUGAAAGUAGUGAGCUCUAUAAUACGAGGAACAAGCUGCAGGUCUUGGGAAAAUUGAGGUUUUAAAUGACACCAUUUGAAACUGUGAAUCCUGAUUUGACUGUUGUGUCCAAAAACUAAAUUAAAACAUGUUCUCAUUUAAAGUGAGAUGUGUUCUUCUGUUUAAGAUAAUUGUGAUGUUUGGUCUAGUGGUAGAUCAGAUCUUCAUGUAAAAAACACUUAUUCUUUGGCAUUAAGGUGAUGUGCUUAUAACCUGCAUCAGUAAGAAUUAAAAUUCUAUUUUCUUCCAAAUACUUCAAAUAGGGUAACUGAACAAAAUUAGUAUAGAAUGCCAAACUGAUGAAGGGAUUUGUCAUGUAAGAUGAUUUAUGCAUUCAACUGAAUUGACAUUAUUUUAUCUAACAGUAAGUUUUGUUUUAUGUUCUAUAAUUCAUUCUCUUGCAUACACUGUUAGGUUUCCAACUUGUCUUAUUUGUGAUUUUGGGAAAUGAAUGUAUAAGAAAAUACAGUGAAUUCAAAAGAAUGACAACUAGAGAGCAAUAUAAUUGUAUCCUUAGAAAACUAACUCCUCUUUUAAUCUGGAUACCAUUAAAGUACAAGUUAAUCUAAUAUAGAAGGUCAAUAUGUUUAAAAACUAUCAAGUACUUAAGUAGAUAUACUUUGUUUUAAAAUAAGUAACAGUAAUAAGUAUUUUGGAAAGAAAAUAUUACCUGCCUUUGAUCUUUUAACUGUGUUAUUUGUUGGGGACUUACCAGGUUCUUCUAUUUGGGUAAGAUCAUCAAAUUUUAUUAGUCUUCCUAAAAGCAAGUUGCGAAAUUCAAGAGUAAAAAAUAGUUUAAAGAGAAGUAAGGAGACUUACAGCUUUGUUUUGAAACCAUGUCCUCCUUUCUUUAGAAGCAAAUUUUGAAAAUGUGGGCAAGUGAAAUGUGUUUUUUGUUUGUUUAAAUAGGAUAAAUCCUGUUGUUAUAAUACUCAAAACAUAUUUUACUUGUUAUAAUGGUCAUAUAUAAUGCUAUACUUGUAUGAAAGAGCUUAAUGUUUUUCAUUUUUCUAUUCCAAAGUCUAUUUCCAUUUAUGGUCACUAUUUGUUUCAACUAACUAAAUUAAACAAGUAGAGAAAUUCUAAGGCUUGAAUUCUAUCCCCUUGCAAAAAUUAUGCAUUUAUGUGGAUUACCGUUGUCUCCAUCGUACUACCUCUUUUCUAGAUGAUGUUAUGAAAUACAUAUGUGUGUCUGUACAUACAGACAUACAUAUAUAUUUUCAAAAAAUGGAUAGAACAAAAAUGUAGGUAUGAAAAAGAUAUAAAGGUUUACUGGAAUAGUAAACUUUACUUUGAAAUAAGCAAUGAAAUUGGACUUUUCUCUAAGAAUCAGAAGGUACAUAUACGUGGUAUAUAUAUGUAUACACAUGAACAUAAUUAGUUUCAAAAUGUUUCUAUUAAGAACAAAGACUGGAUGUCCAUCAGUUGGAGAAUGGCUGAAUAAAUUGUGGUAUAUGAAUAUUAUGGAAUAUUACUGUUCUGUAAGAAAUGACCAACAGGAUGAUUUCGGAAAGGCCUGGAGAGACUUACACAAACUGAUGCUGAGUGAAAUGAGCAGGACCAGGAGAUCAUUAUAUACUUCAACAACAAUACUAUAUGAUGACCAGUUCUGAUGGAC
rnacentral:lncRNA from 1 species